CGCGUAGGCGGCUUAGUUAGUCAGGCGUGAAAUUCCUGGGCUCAACCUGGGGACUGCGCUUGAUACGGCUAGGCUAGAGGAUGGAAGAGGGUCGCGGAAUUCCCAGUGUAGAGGUGAAAUUCGUAGAUAUUGGGAAGAACACCGGUGGCGAAGGCGGCGACCUGGUCCAUUACUGACGCUGAGGCGCGACAGCGUGGGGAGCAAACA
rnacentral:rRNA from 1 species